GAACGGUAUAUUAAACCUUUUGAAAUAAAUCAAGCAUGAGUUGUAAAAGGGCAGUCUUGCCAAGUUUUGGAAUGCUGAGUUUCAUGGGAAGCAGGAGGUGGCAUGAGAUAAGUACAUUAAACCUCCACUAAUAGAUCAUAAGCUGGAGGUGUCAAGCUCUAAAUUAAUAUUGGGAUUUUCAUUCUAAGUAUGAGCUGUGUAAUAUUUAUGCUAGUAUAAUAAAAACUAAGCAAUUACUAGGUAAAGCAAGGCUAGGUAGUUGGGAAAAAAAACUAAGAAUAGUUUUUUUUUUACCCUGUUUGCUCCGUUCCAUAUCUUCGUUCUCUUUCUAUUAUCAAACUUCCAUUACUUCCUCUUGAGUUUCGGCUAAAGCAAAGGAAGAGAGCCAAGAAGUAAGCUUGUAAACUGGGGUGGGAAUGGAAUUCAAAUAGCUGUAGUAGCAAAAAGGGAGUGUAUAAGUUGAUCAUUAAAGUAAAUUUCAGCGAACUAUAAUUGGUGCAAGGUAACAACAAUGAUCAUAAUUAUUUUGUUUAGAAAAUUGUAAAGUUAUUGCUUAUGUUUCAUUAUUGUUAUACUUGGUUUGUGAUUGGGAUGUGAAUUAGUUUAAGGAGGUUUAUGCAGGACAUAUGGAGUGAUAAGGUUUGAAAGUUUUAGUUAAAUUCAUGUAUGAGAUUUGUUUUAAAAAGGGACGCACAUAAAGUGUUUGUAAAAUAGUCUCUUAGAGGCUGUCAUGCAUUAAAAAAAAUUUGAUUAAGGUUGUUAACAAAGAAACCUCCAUAUAUAUUAUAUGAAGUAAUUCAAAUGGUUUGGGUAAGUCCAAGUGGAUUUAGAAAUGAAUUUAUGAGAAUUGAAACAAAUUGGAAUUGGCUAAAAAACUGUAACUAUGUGGAGGGAAUCAUGGGAAUAAUAAUUGUGCCAAAUAGUUUGUUAAAUGAUCAAAUAUGUUGUUGACCAUUACGUGAAUUCCCUCCAUUUAUUGCUGCACUUUCUUGAGCUAAUUCAUCCCAUUAGUGGAAAUAUUACCUUUAUACUUGGUAUAAUAUCUUGGGCAGAUCACUUCUUUAUUAAGAAAAUUGCUUGUCAUCACCUAGUCGUUGGUGGUGGAGUAUGCUGAGUAUUACAGGUUAUGCUGAAGUUUAA
rnacentral:lncRNA from 1 species